GUUUCCGUAGAGAAGUGGUCAUCUCUAGCGCCUAACACGCGCAAGAUUCCCAGUUCGAUCCUGGGGGGCAACG
rnacentral:tRNA from 1 species